CAGCAGCCGCGGUAAUACAGAGGGUGCAAGCGUUAAUCGGAGUUACUGGGCGUAAAGGGCGCGUAGGCGGUUAUAUAAGUGAGAUGUGAAAUCCCUGGGCUUAACCUAGGAACUGCAUCUUAUACUGUAUGGCUAGAGUAUUGUAGAGGGUAGUGGAAUUUCCGGUGUAGCGGUGAAAUGCGUAGAGAUCGGAAGGAACACCAGUGGCGAAGGCGGCUACCUGGACAAAUACUGACGCUGAGGCGCGAAAGCGUGGGGAGCAAACAGGAUUAGAUACCCCAGUAGUCCCUGUCUCUUAUAC
rnacentral:rRNA from 1 species